rnacentral:misc_RNA from 1 species
UUUCCGUAGGUGAACCUGCGGAAGGAUCAUUCAUAAUAUAGUGUCUUACUGCCCUUUUUAAAAAUCCCUAUGCGCCUGAUGUGUAAUUUUCGAUCUCGUGAAUCUCGGCGGGAUUUUUAUACAUCAACUCAUCCUUUAACUAAUUUGUCUGAAAACUAUUAUGAAUACUUAAUUCAAUUUACAACUUUCAACAACGGAUCUCUUGGCUCUG